rnacentral:rRNA from 1 species
UAGGGAAUCUUCCGCAAUGGACGCAAGUCUGACGGAGCAACGCCGCGUGAGUGAAGAAGGAUUUCGGUUCGUAAAACUCUGUUGUUAGAGAAGAACAUCGCAUAGAGUAACUGUUAUGCGAGUGAUGGUAUCUAACCAGAAAGCCACGGCUAACUACGUGCCAGCAGCCGCGUUAUUACGUAGGUGGCAAGCGUUUUCCGGAUUUAUUGGGCGUAAAGCGAGCGCAGGCGGUCAAUUAAGUCUGAUGUGAAAGCCCCCGGCUCAACCGGGCAGGGUCAUUAGAACCUGGUUGACUUGAGUGCAAAAGAGGAGAGUGGAAUUCCAUGUGUAGCGGUGAAAUGCGUAGAUAUAUGGAGGAACACCAGUAGCGAAGGCGCCUCUCUGGUCUGUAACUGACGCUGACGUUCGAAAGCGUGUGUAGCAAACAGG